rnacentral:rRNA from 1 species
GAUGAACGCUAGCUACAGGCUUAACACAUGCAAGUCGAGGGGCAGCACAGUGUAGCAAUACAUGGGUGGCGACCGGCGCACGGGUGCGUAACGCGUAUCCAACCUUCCCGUUACUCUUGGAUAGCCUUCCGAAAGGGAGAUUAAUACAAGAUGGUAUUCAAAUUCCGCAUGUUAUUUGAAUUAAAGAUUUAUCGGUAACGGAUGGGGAUGCGUUCCAUUAGCUUGUUGGCGGGGUAACGGCCCACCAAGGCUUCGAUGGAUAGGGGUUCUGAGAGGAAGGUCCCCCACACUGGAACUGGGACACGGUCCAGACUCCUACGGGAGGCAGCAGUGAGGAAUAUUGGUCAAUGGGCGAGAGCCUGAACCAGCCAAGUAGCGUGAAGGAUGACUGCCCUACGGGUUGUAAACUUCUUUUGUUUGGGAAUAAAAGACGCUACGCGUAGCGUUCUGCAUGUACCUUACGAAUAAGCAUCGGCUAAUUCCGUG